GAAAGAUUCAUCGGAAGAGGAUGGGCAUGCGGCGCAUUAGCUAGACGGCGGGGUAACGGCCCACCGUGGCGACGAUGCGUAGGGGUUCUGAGAGGAAGGUCCCCCACACUGGUACUGAGACACGGACCAGACUCCUACGGGAGGCAGCAGUGAGGAAUAUUGGUCAAUGGGAGAGAUCCUGAACCAGCCAAGCCGCGUGAGGGAAGACGGCCCUAUGGGUUGUAAACCUCUUUUGUCGGAGAACAAAACCCGGGACGAGUCCCGGACUGCGUGUAUCCGAAGAAAAAGCAUCGGCUAACUCCGUGCCAGCAGCCGCGGUAAUACGGAGGAUGCGAGCGUUAUCCGGAUUUAUUGGGUUUAAAGGGUGCGUAGGCGGUCCGUUAAGUCAGCGGUAAAAUUGCGGGGCUCAACCCCGUCGAGCCGUUGAAACUGGCAGACUUGAGUUGGCGAGAAGUACGCGGUAUGCGCGGUGUAGCGGUGAAAUGCAUAGAUAUCGCGCAGAACUCCGAUUGCGAAGGCAGCGUACCGGCGCCACACUGACGCUGAGGCACGAAAGCGUGGGGAUCGAACAGGAUUAGAUACCCUGGUAGUCCACGCAGUAAACGAUGAAUGCUGGUUGUCCGGGUCGAAUGAGAUCUGG
rnacentral:rRNA from 1 species